rnacentral:lncRNA from 1 species
AAAUACCUAAAUAUGUGAAAAGUUGGUACUAGGGUUUGUAUGCUAUGUUUCAAAAAUAAGAUUUCCAAAAUCAUAUAUUUCUUUUGCAGGUUUUUCUUCUAUGGUCCCAAUAUCAAAAUCAAAAGGAACAACCAUCAUUACAAUGAUUUUCUCUGAUGGUAUGUAUACUCCUAGCAUUGGAUUCCAGGAUUGCAACUGAAGUACGUAAUAAAGAGAUUCAAAUAGGUAAUCUGGAUAUGGUUUUUCCUUUAUCUCCUCUAUUUGUUUUGGAUGGUGCAUGACUUUUAUUUACUACUUGUAUUUUCAGUCAUAGAUAUUUACGAUAAAGUAAAAAUCUUAGGGAGGACGGUCAUUGUUGGGGCUGGUCAUAAUGAGGUAGCAUGGGAAGUGGUUGGGUUCAUGCAUUCAAUCCUAAACUUGAUAAGAAAUCAAUAGCUUCAGCAUACAUUUGUGCAAUUGAAUUUUUUAAAACUUACCUAUUAGCUGGUUGGAUGCCAUAUUCUUCUGAGAGUUCCAUCCCAUUUAUAAUCUGGAAUACAUCCUCGGGCAGCAAUCGUACUUUCUGGAAUAAUAGAAGUUCAAAGAUAACUCUCUCUAUUCUCUCAUCUCUUCUUCCUCUCUUUGAUGUUGUCUUCAUAAUUCCCUCUCUUCUUAAUGUGUGUUCUCUUCUUACACUUUGGCCUUCCUUAUAUAGGCAAAUGAAUAGGCAAAAUGUUAAAUCAAAACCUACCACUCACUUAAUAUCUUCACCUACUACACCCAUUAAGCCUUCACCUACCACACCCACUACAUAGUGGACAUCCUUCAUAUGUGGCAUCCACACUUGAAUUUCAUAAUGGACAUCCAUAUUUACCAUGCAUUUUUACAACACUCUCCCUUGGACAAAGCAGUCUCUGUUGAGAGAAUUAAUCUCACAUAAGAGAAAGAAAGAACCUUACAUUAUUGUAAAUUGGUUUUAUUGUUAGCAACUUUGGGACCAAAGUUUCCAAGCUCCCUUGGCAACUAUCUUCAUUUACGUCCAAUCUUAAAGCGCUUUAAUCUUAACAACGAUUGAGCGAACUGCAGCAUGUAGAUUGUAGAGCGAUUUAAAUGGCAAACUUUUCUUUUUCGAAAACAACCCAUGUACCAAUCUCCGACCAACUUACAUAAAGGAUGAUCUCCUUCGAGUUUUCUCUACAUCAUAUAUCCCCUAAGGAAAGAAAGCUGAAUAAUUGAUGAUUGACUUGAUUGAUACGUGGAGAAAGAAAUUAGGAGUUUAAAGCAUCCUCGCCUGUCAAUAAGUUGCAUUAUAUCGCUCAAAUCAAAGUGGCCGGCAUCUUGUUUGCCCCAUCUCCUGUUGUUUUGCUGACUAAAUUUUUAUGGAACAAGAUAAUUAACAGGCGCAUGCCAAUAAAUGAUCUGAUCUCAGAAAGAACACUAUCAAGAUCACCACAAAAUAGUCAAUAGAAAAUUCUCGAAAUCAGGUAAGAUCGACAUACUAAUCUUAUGAAAAAACACAACAUUCACAUUGGAAUGAAAACCAAACCACAAAAUGAGUGAGGAACUUAACAAGGUCUCACAGAUCUAAUAUAUAUAUAUAUAUAUAUAUAUAUAUAGUUAGUUAGUUAGUUAGUUAGAAAAUUCAGAACAUAUACACGGAAAUUAUUUGUUUCAAGUUGGCAUUCAUUAUAGCAAGACAUACAAGUUUUGAAAUAAAUUUCAUCAAAUUGCUUGCAAGUGUGGUCCACAUGUGUUAAUCUCACAUGGAACCAGAUCCUCUUUGGACUCAAAGGAAUUGAGGCCAAGGAUCAAAUGAUCAUGACCAUUAUAACAUUUGAAGGCUUCCUGUUUAUAACCGUUGGAUCAAAUUUCAAUAACUCAGAUCAUUUGAUGAGUGGGCUCAUUUCCUUUGGGUUUGAAGAGGAUCUGGUUCCAUCUCACAUAAUAUGUUAAAAGAGAUUGUUGUAUGAUAUUGAUCAGAAAUUGAGAAUUAAACUUUCAUCCAAAAAGUUGGAUGGAUUUUGUUGUUCUAUCAAGUAUGGGUUGAUUUAUUUAGAACCGUAUGGAAAAAUACCGAAGUGAAUUAUUGUGUUCCUUGUUGCAAAUCAUUAAAAUUGGAUUGUGUACUGUUAUCAACAAUUGAAUGAAUUCAAAACUCAAUUAGCCACCUCUAAUACAACAUGUAAAUUUUAUAGAUAUUUAAUUAUAUCUUAACUAAUCACGUAUUUGAAUCACUCUUAUCAGAACCUUCUCGACUCAUCUGCCAAAAUCUCUUCAAUUUCAAGCAGCCGCCACAACUCUUCCCCAAAGGUAAAUUUCUCUUCUCUUUCUUGCAUUCGGAAUCUUCGAAAUCCUCAUCGUUUGAUUUCUGCAAUUUCGAUUCCACAGAAACAUGGUUCUCUCUGCAGCACUACCCAUUUUCCACCAAAAUCACAUCUCAAACUCUUCCAAUUUCGAACACGACAUGCCCGGCGAAGGUCAGUACCCUCACUCAUACCCAAAGAUAAUUUUAAUAUCAGUGGGGGUUGUAAGCUAUCUUUCCAAAAUAAGAUUUCCAAAAUCGUAUCUUUCGUUUGCAUGUUUUCCUUCUGUGGUUCAAACAUCAAAAGUAAAAGGAACAAUUGUGAUUGGAAUCCUCAGAAUGUCAUAGAAUACUAUUAGCUUAUGAUUCCAGGGUAACAGGCAAAGUCGACAAAAAAGAGCCUCAAAUACGUAAUUCUCGAUAUGGUUUUUCCUUAUUAUUCUCCUCAUUUUGUUUUGGAUGUUGCAGGACUGUUAUUUUCCUACUUAUCACUAGUCUAAUUUUCAGUCUCAGAUAAUUACAAAAAGUAAUUACAAAAAGGUUAUAAAGUUCGGGAGACUUCAGAUUGCUAUCACUAGUGAAGGUGAGUCAACAGUUCAAUUAAUUCGACUCUCGGAAGUGACUCACUUCCCAAGACACGACGAUCCUGCUUAUCAGCUGGCAGAUUUGAAUCAAAGAUACCGUUCAAUAAAUAUUGAGAUUUAAUAAUUUAAAGGGGCUUUUAGAUCUAGAUAAAAAAAACAUAGAUGCUUUUUAGGAGUGAGUCCGGAUAUCUAAUUACAUGUUUUUAUUUCUUUUAUACUCAUUUUAUAUUUUUUUUAAAUAUUAAAAAUCAAUUAAAAUAUUCUAAUAUUAUGCAUUUUUUCAACUCCAAAAAAACUAAUUAAUAUCUUAUAACAAAAAAAACAAAUAUACUAACAAAAAUUAUCUACAAAACAUUCUACCUUAACUCAAGUUACAAGUAACAAAUAUAUGUGGGUAUAUUAUACCUGUAAGCGAGAUAUGAAACCUAACUAAAAGGUUAAAAAAAACAUAAUAUACAUACAAGCAAGACACAUUAAUCUGUGACACAUUGAUUAUAAAAAAGAAUAUGUCAUAUAGAUACAUAAAAAUAAUUAACCUGUGAUAUAGGUUGAUUAUAAAAAUUAAAAAUAAAAUCUAUAAAUGGGGUUUAAAGCAAGAGGCAGAGCAAGAAAUAACAAAAAAAAAAAAAGAAAUAAUCAAAGAGAUAAUUAGGAAGAAAUUUAAUUUUUAUAAUAAAUCUUAUCAUUGAAUAGAUAAUUAUUGAUAAUUAAAUAAUUAAAUUUAAAGAAUUGGACUUAUUUUAAUAAAUUAGACCAUUCCUACUAUUGGCUAAAAAAAUUGGACUUAUAUCAAGUUGUCCCUAAUUUAAACAUGUUGGUUUCAAGGAGGUAGUUGGCUCUCUUGAAUUAGAGAUGUCUUCCAAUAAAUAUUAAGAUUUAAUCAUUCAAGGAGGUAGUUGGCUCUCUUAAAUUGGAGAUGCCGUCCAAUAAAUAUUGAGAUUUAAUGAAGUUAAAGCAGCUUCCGGUCAAGAAAAACUUUAACUUUUAGAGUUAUUGGUCUCGAGUGCACGUCGGGAUGUGAAUCUCACAUGGUGCUGCUCCUGCGUCUCUCUGUCCAACAUCUCCAAUUACCUCUCCAUUAGCAUGGCCGACCCUGAGGGUAUGCAAGUGGUGCCACUGCACAAGGCCCCCAAAACGGAAGGGCCCCCGAUUUUACAAUUUUGCAUGCAUAUACAUAUAUAUAGCUGUAUGUGUAGAAUAUUACAAAUCUGAGUCUUAGCGCAAGUGUUAUUAUUGCUUCUUUACAUCCUGCUAGGGGAUGGGUUCAAAACUCAUCUCCAUCAUUUUUUCAGUUUAUUUUUAUUAAAUGCAUAUGCUUCCACAAAAUAAUAUAAAAUUUUCACACAAUAACAUAAAAAUUUGAACCCUGACUCUCUAAAUAGUUAAGAAAAAACAAUACGUCACAUUUCCACUUGUUGAUUUAUUAAAUUUGUUUGUGCUAUUAGAAUUUAUAGAAACUCAAUUGAAAACUAAUAUUAUUUUUUUGAACAAAAAAAAUAAAAUUUUUAGUACUUUUUAAGGCCUCCAAUUCACUUUCGCAAGGAUCCUGAAACCUCAGGGCCGGCUCUAUCCAUUAGGUAGGGUUUUUUUUGGCCCAAGCACUUAUUUGGUAAACUUGUUGGUUUCAAUGAGGUAGUUGGCUCUCUUGAAUUAGAGAUGUCGUCCAAUGAAUAGUGUAUCUGCAUCAACAUGCACUUAAAAUUCCUUCAGAAUUGUUACUAGAGUACUUACUAAUUAAUAGAUGUAGAACAAAUGGACAAAUGGAUUGUGGAAAAACAAAAAGACAGUGGGAAUUUGUAGAUUUGCUGUCCAAGCUGCUGAGCCCAUGAUACCUAUUCGAAAAGAGAGCGACACCAAAUUGAAAACUCACUGUUUUGCCAUGACAUAAGAUAGUUUUUAGCCAUCCGAUGUCGUUUCAAGCUCUAAAAUGCAAUUUUAAUUUCCGUAAUAAAAAUCAAACCUUUGUUGCCGUCCGAUUAAUGUCAAAUUAAUUUGGUUUUAAUUAAUAGUCCUUUGAGUUGUUUUAGGAGUUGUAAUUUGUUUUAGGAGUUUUAAUCCAUUUAUUAAACCUUUUGGCUGUUUUAUUGUAAUCAUUCAAUUAUCAUUUAAUCAAAUCAACCUUUGGAUUUUCUUUGCAACUCUGGUAGACUUCUUGUUCUUCGAGGGUUACGUCGUUUUCCUCUUGCAAAAGUUUUCUGAAAUCUACCGAAGUCGGUGAGAAAAUCAUUCUAUAUAUUUAAUGAACUGUCAAACGUUUUGCAUAGCUAAGUAAAGAUUACAAAACUAACAUAAGUUAUGUAAUAUUGUUUUCACAACUCACAUAGAGUAGUUUAUAUCAGUACCCAAUCCAAGUUUAAUGAUUUGCAACAAGGAACAUAAUAAUUCACUUUGGUAUUUUUUCUACGGUUCUAAAUAAAUCAACCCAAUAAUUGAGAGAACAACAAAUUCAAUCAAACUUUUCUAAUGAAAGUUUAAUUCUUAAUUUAUGAUCAAUAUCAUACAACAAUGUCUUUUAUCUUAAUUUGAUCAAAAGGAACUGUCAUUAGCACUUUAAAAUUUUCAUUUUCAAACCAUAUUUAUAUGCAGGGGUGUGAGAAAAGGAGAAAAGUAACUUAGAAGUAGAACAAACAUAUCCCUUUAGUAAAUGAACGGGAUGCCGACAGAAAUACCUAAGGGUAUGAACUUACUACAUCAAAUGAAAGAAAUGUUUGAUCGAAGAAUGAAUGAAAAAACAAAUGCAUGAAAGGGUGCGGGCAAUAUUCUUUCUUUAUAAUAUUUGCAAUUAAUUAUUUAGAGUAAUACAAAACAAAAUGCAUGAAUAUUAUUUGGAGUAAAAGUGUUGCUAUGAACAAAUUGUCUAAUUUGAAGAUACUUAUCUUAUUACAAUUAUUCUCUAUUUUUACAAUGAUGCGUUUUUAGUUAUGAGUUCUAAUUUUCUUAUUUUAUUUGUAGAUUUGUGAUGAAAACUUGGAAGCAUCAGGUGGAAACAAAUGGAUUCCACCAAUGGGUGGCACCCACGACGUUGAUGUUGCUUAAAGACUUUAUGUUUGUAAUCUGUAAAGAAUAUUCAUCUUUAACUCGUGGAUGGAUUUUUUAAGUCAAGAGUAUUAUGUUUUAGUCAUUACUAGCAAUUGAGCCCCGCACGAUACCGCGGGUUUUAUGAUCGUUUAAAAUGAUAUUAUUUUACAUAUAAUAUGUUUAUACUAAGAGAGAUGAUUUUAAAGUGUUAUUUACAAAGAAAUUAUACUAUUUACAACCAGCUCAAAUCACACUGACAGUCUGCUCUUUGAGCAAGUUUUUGACAAACCUGAACAGUAAAAUGGACAAUUGUUCAUUCAAUUACCAUGAAUGGAUUAAUGAAGAAUCGACAAUAACACUAAACAUGGUAGUCAUACAGAUUAGGAAGCCAUCCAUCUAUAAGCCAGUUCAUUCACUUGCACUAUUCUUCUAGUGUCUGAUAAUGAAAGCGAAGUUCCUGUAAGUACUCCUUAACCAUAUGAGCAAUAAAGUUAGCUCAUAGCUGAUUAGCUUCAGGUCGUUCUUUGUCACCUCUGUUUUUUGUUGAGUUAAGUUCUCUAAAGUCGUCCCAAAAGUUGGUGUUUCAGGCUCAUUGAUACUCGCUUCUGCCUUUUGUUGUAUGAAAACUCUUACACAGCGAUGUCAACUUUGUCUGUCAUGUUUUGAUAACGUGCUAGUCAACUUGUCCUGCCUCUCCGAUCGAAUUUCCUAGGACAGACAGAAAUUUUGGUUAGCACACCCAGCCGUAGUAAAUUACAGAUCCGAUCAAAUUCCCUAGGACAGACAGAAAUUUUGGUUAGCACACCCAGCCGUAGUAAAUUACAGAGUUAAAGCCAAGGAAAUUACCGACAAACAAGAUCCGAGGCAAGCAAUACCACAUCAUUCACAGCCGUUCCGAUAUUAGACUGCUGAAAAAGAGCCUGAGGGGGCGUUUGUUUGCCCUCACUAAAUUUCCUUGGAUUGGACUGGCUUAGCUGGGAUUGCUAGCCAGUGUUUGGUGCGAACAAGGACUACCGGACUACCGUUAAUGAGACUAAGUCGGACUCGCACCGACUAAGUCUUUCGUUAGGUCGUCUUAGCGAGGAUCCCCAAUAGGUAUGGGAUUGCUAAUCCCGUUCCCAAAUCUGAUUCGUUUGCCCGUUGCAUCGUCUGCAAGCGUUCUUCUCUGCAACACCGUUUGCCCACCCCCCAUAUCUGAAACAAAAGCCUCACCCACUGCCUAAAUCUCAAAAUCCAACCACAAAAUUAAAAAAAAAAAAAAACGCAAAACAAUAACAACAACCAAAUCCAACCACCAAAUUCAAAGUCCACCCUGUGCCAGAAAAUUCUGAGAUGGCUUUGCAGGCAGAGAAGCCAAAUCAUGUAUCAGAUGGAAGAGAGAUCCGAAAAUUUUUGGAAGAAAAAAAAUGAGGAAGGUGGAGAUGCUUAAUGGCGGCAAGAGGGUGAAGAUGAUGAGCUUUUUUUUGAAGGAUUUGUGAUGAGCUUCACACCUGCGUUGUGCAGGAAAAUGAGGGAGAAAAGAAGAAAUGGACGGAGCCAGAAGGAGAAAAGAAGAGAUGAUUCCAAAGUGAUAGUUUUCCAAGAGAAAAAAAGGUUAAAAGGUUGAUUAAAUAAUAAAAUAUUAUUAUGUAUGCAUCAAAUAAUAUAAAAUAUUACAAUAUAUACAUUAAAUAUUAUAAUAUAUGCAUUAAAUAAUAUAAUAUUAUAGUUUGUUUAUUAUCCGAUUUUAUAGUCCAACACUAGUCCAGCUUAGUCUAGUCUAAGCCAGUCCAACUUAGUCCCGGCAGCUAGUCCAGUCCGAGACAGUCCGGUGCAACAAACGCCCCCUGAAAGUACUUUGACUGCUUAAACUUCACAAUGUAAAUAUCUCCAUUUGUGCCAAAAUCACAGCCCAGAUCCUUCUUUGCUGUUUCUGUACAGCACGAGUAUUCAAAUCAUUAGCAUCACAUGGAAAAAUCUGAAUCUACUUGUGAAAAGAAAAACAAAAGUGCAGUUACUAAUCUAGACCAAGAACAGUAACAAAUUCCGUAUGCAUCGAUCAAUUUCCAAUUUCGGAUUCAUCAAUUCAAAAAUUAGUUCCUAUCUAGCGAAAAUUACAGGAUCAUUUGAGUGAUAAAUAAAAAAUUAAGAUAAUCUUUGUCCAAAAAAUCUUCAAGAAAUUCACAUAAUGUUUAACCUUUAGCAAUUUCACAGCGUCUCGACCAAGUCCAAUAAUAGGAAAACUGAAAACACGAAAUGCGAAGUUCUAGAGGUUCUCGAAGCUUUGAUUAAAAUGAAGAAUCAAGCUCAGACACAGAGAGAGGCGCACCGAUCAGAAAGAGGAUACAUGACUGUCACGUCAAAUAAGCAUAAGGUCUUUUUUUUUUUUUUUUUUUUAGCAUGUCACAAACAAUAAUUUCCAGUAGACGACCACCAUGCUAACAUAUGCAGAAAGAACUAGAAAUGCAGUAUACUUCGCAAGUAUAAUCAAAACAUUUUGUUCCUCAAGUACAAGAAAGAGAAACAUACCACCAGUUCCUGAACCUGUGUCCGAAAGAUAUUUUCUAACAACUGAUUUGGACUAACUUUGUUUGUUUCUGUCAUAAAGAAAUUAAUUGGCCCAAUUGUUAUAGACCAAUCAACAGCAUCCGGAAAAAAUAAUAAUAAAGAUUUAAAUGUGGCUAAUGUACAAUCAGGAUAUAGGUGAAGCAACGCUCCCCUGAACACCAAGGAUAAAGCCUAGAAUCAAAGUAAAGGACUCACUGGUAAAUUAGAAAUUGGAGCCUUUAUAGGACAAAGGUAGCAAAAGAAAAUGUGUCCAAAUGUAGCAAACAGAAAGAGAAUGAAAUCACAACUGUAUUUCAGUCUUGAGAAGCAAAACCAUAAACAACUACGCAUGCAUUUACACAGAGACUUAAUUUUUUGGGAAACAAGAAGAUAUAAAUAAGAUGAACCCUGAACAUGAAGGAUCUAUAGUUGUUACCUGAGGUUGUAUAACUUGUUGAACUGUAUGAAGGGCAAACCUUUUAGUUGGGGUGGGCCGAGUUGGAAUAUGGCCAUCCUGAACACUUCCUGAGAAUAAAAACAGAAAGAAGAUUUAACCACAAUUGACAGAGAUGGCAAAUAACAAUCACAAUUAUAACUGUGGUGAAAAUAAGGCUAACCAUGUUAAAGACUUGUACCAGAGUGCUAAAACUGAAGCCAACGACAAACAGUCGGCUAUCCACUCUGUCAAACAAAGCCUUCCCAAAGGCUCAAUAAAAAUGAUCUGGGAAACAUUCGGCAGCAGAAAAAAGCAUCUAAUGAAAUUAAACCUGCAGUGACAUUUGGAACUGCAUGUUAGAACGUAGAAUGCAGAAGAGGCACAAACCCAGGAAUGAAAAGUGCGGGGGGAUGAAACUUUAGGCCAAUUUUCCUACAGUCCCCCUUUGUUUUCUGACAUUUCCGCAAUUUUAUGGAACCUGUUAAUUCCUUAAUCUGCACAUGCAUGUUUUCUCAUGCAUAAGCUAAUUGUUUGAUUUUUCCGGUCACCCAACGAAAGCAUCAAUGAAUCAACAGACUUUACACCGAGAAAGAAAGUUAUUCAUAGACAGAACUCGACAGUUUCUGUCCCUUUGAAUCUUCAAUGAAUACUAGUCAUAUAUAGUUUUCACUUUUCAGAAGCUAUUAAAAAUUGAUUACAAUUGACAAUUAACAAGCAGAGAAAAUCGCUGCCAACCAUUCACUGAACAAGUUGGAAAAUUUCGAAUUCAUCUGUUUGUAACGGCAAUAUCUCUAAAUCCCUAAAUUAGUGAACGAAGCGGAAUCGAAAAUAGAAAAGGCAAGAAAUCUCUUACCCCGCAGAUUUCACAGCGGCGGGCCGAGUUAUGAAGAGAGUGUCGUCCUUUACGUCCGGCGGCGACCCGGGAAGAAGAAGAAGAAGAAGUUGAUGUCCAAGUUCUUUCUGUGUAAAGAUAAAAUCCAGUCCCUCCACUUUUUGCCGUCACGGCCUACACAGGCUUCACCAAUUAUCUGGACAAAAACACCCCUAACAAGAAGAAAGCUACAUGUCGUUUGUUGUCAAACAUCUACUUUUGACAUCCGAGGUGCUUAGAUUAACUUCUCCCUCUUAUAUCUCGUUUUGUUAGUUAUCAAACAAAGGAGAACAUAAUGUUAAGAAGACUAAAUUUGAAAACCAAAUAUAUAAACUAAAUGAUAGGGGAGGGAAUGGAUUAGAUUUCCAAAACUUUGAAUCCAUGAGACUGGCCUCCUUACCUCCUCCAAAACAUAAUCUAGUACAUUAAAAACAAGAAAAGAUCACGGAGAUAUACUUUGAUACCGGAAACAAUUGCAUCAACCAGCUGUUUCACCCGUUUCUCGAAAAGCCCGACAAGAUGUCUUGUCAUCAGGAUUACUGGAGUAAGAUUUUCUCCCCUCUUUUUUCUCCUCCCCUUCCCUCCCCUUUUAUUUGAACCAUCACAGAUAAGCCACGUCAACAUCUUAUAUUAAUUUUAUAUAUACAAAGAAAGACAAAAUAGAGAAUGUGAGAGGAGGGGAUGGAAAGGGGAGGGGAGAGAAUCCUAGUCCUUUGUUACUCCCACUCAAGAGAGAAAAAAACUCCGCUGACACCAAAUACGUAAAGAGGAUUCAAAUCGAUGGGGAAUCGAGUAUUUAUAAUCUUCAAAACAAAUGUAACAAAAUUUGAAACGUCCGUUGCAGAAUGCUCCGCUUCACAAAGUCAAGUUGAAACAUCCAUUAUUGUCAAUCUCUACUUCAGUUUUCAAAUUUGAAUCACAUGACUGAUGCAGGGGAUCUAAGAAAGCUUUGCCCAAAUGUUGACGGGUCCUCAAGUGUAUAUUAUUACUCUAACUAAAAGCUAAUCACAAGUCAUUUAAAAAUCCGAGGGACCAAAGGGAUAAGUUCUAAUGAGCUUGGAUGGUAAGGUUUAGUAAACCACAUGCAUAGAAGGAAACAGGGUCUUCUUUACUUCACAUUUACACAGGAUACAUGAUUGUCACGUCAAAUAAGCAUAACGUCUUUUUGUGAGCGUGUCACAAAUAUUAAUUUCCUAUGGACGACCACCUGCUAACAUAUGCAGAAAAAAACUAGAAACUCAAAUUUUGGAGAACACAAGAGGUAUCGUGAUUGAAAUUUUGGAGAAUCUAAAGUGUCGACGCAUUUGUGGGACCAAUAUGUGGGACCAAUCUGUGAGACCAAUGCAUCCAAGUUUUCCUUCCUUUGUAACACAUCCAGAUUUCCUUGGCUAAACUUCUUCAACCCUUUCCCCUGCAAUGCAAAAAAUAGGCUUUUGCAUCUCUUGGACAUCUUCUCCUCCGUCUAAAGUCUGACGAGCACCUUCCUCACUUGCAAAGAUGACCAAUCGGGUGUAGUAUGCCCCACAUAGCUUGGUAAGACAUGAACUGACAAACUUCACUUCUGCUCUCAUAUAUCUCAUUUUGUUAGUUAUCAAACAAAGGGAACGGGUAAUGUUAGGAAGACCAAAUUCUAAAACUAAACCCUCAUAUAUCUCGUUUUGUUAGUUAUCAAACAAAGGAGAACGCGUAAUGUUAGGAAGCACCAAAUUCCAAAACUAAAUGAUCCGAGGCUCAAUUAACGGCAGCCCUCAGGCGAGAAGACUUUAAGCUCAAGCGAAAUAUGACUUGAGGGCGGCCGCUUAGCCGCUCUUUCUCAAGCUCAAGUCUGAGAUUCACAAAGAUUCUUUUCGCUCAAGCCUUCAUUCAUGCGACUGAAGUGGUGUUAUCGACACUGUGUUUCAAAAUUUUAUAGUAAGUUUGUGCCAAACGGCAUACAAAUAUAGGUGAAACAAGUCUCGAAACUGAAAUUUUGGAGACCCAGUAAUUGUUUUACAGCAAAAGAGGGGUUAUCGGCACAUGUUUCAAAUUCUCAAAGGAAGUUUGUGCCAAAUAGCAUACAAAUCUCAGUGAAACAAGUCUCGAUGCUGAAAUCUUGGAGAACUGGUAACUGUUUUACAGCAAAAGAGGUGUUAUCAACAUGUUUCAAUUCUCAAAGGGAGUUAUGAAAUUUCGGAGAAUCUGUGUCAUUGUCAAAGAGGUCAUGUGACUGAAUUAUUAGAAUCAAUCAAUCAUCAAUCUGAGGGACCAUUGCAUCCAAGUUGGCCUUAGUAAGCCAACACACCCAUAUCUCCUCAGCUCCUCCAUUGAAUUUCUUGAAACCCUCCCCUUUCGUGGCAAAAAUAGGCACAUUCUGAACUUCUUUUGCCUCAUCAUAUGUCCCAGACGCACCUUCCCUAUUUGCAAAGAAGACCAGCAUGAUGUAGUACUGCCAACGGAGCGUUGUAAGCCGUGGACCAACACACUCCACUCUCCCUGGUCCCAUCUCCCUGUGAAAGUUGCAAAUAUAAAUUAAAUACACGUUUAAAAUGUAUUUUAAAUGGUGAAAAUAAAAGAUUUUUUUUAUUAGCACCUCACAUAGUGUUGAAUACACCCUAUAUUAAAAUUUAAUAUUUAAUGACUUAUAUAUCUAAUAUGCAAUGACAAGUUCAACCUUAUAGGGUUUAGAAAAAUUAAAAAAAAAUCUAAAUACACUUCAAAUUAAUUUUAACGUGUAUAUCCCAAAAUUAUUAUUUCUUAAUUAUUUUGUUUAAUUAUUUUUUUGAACAAAAUCCCAAGAUCAUUUAUUCUGUUUGAGACUUCAACUCUCAAACCCACUUUCACCUUAAAACACAUCCACUGAUGAUUGAUUCCUUAGGGCCAUUGUUGACCCUUAACGCCAAAAGUCUCUCAACUGGUUGUUGGCAAAUAGGGUAGGGUUUGUUUGGAAUCUCAAGAGCUUGACACACAUGCAUUGCAAUAAGAAAAGAAGUCCAACCAAAAAUUAGUCAAGGUGAAAAUCCACCAUAAAUUACACUCAGCUUGAUUCAAGUAGAUUAGUUUUGCACAUAUAGGAUAGACAUCCAAGUCAUGGGCAGGAUGGGAUGCCUCGGCCUUCACAACUAUAGGAUAGAUAUCCAUGUCAGCUACUUUUAGUAACUCUCUAUAUAUUCUCAAACAUUGAGAAGUAAAUCCCAGUUCCGGUGGGGCUGCCUCAAUCAUCAAUCUGAGGGACCAUUGCCUCCAAAUUGGCCUUAGUAAGCCAACACACUUAUAUAUCCUCAGCUCCUCCAGUGAAUUUCUUGAAACCCUCCCCUUUCGUGGCAAAAAUAGGCACCUUCUAUGGAUAAUCAACCUCCAGUAGUGACGAAAGAGAAGGUCGAUCACUUGGUCGUACGCGGCACUACUAGGGGAAUCCUUACUUCCAAAUUAAUAAAAGAGUUGAGACCCUUUCAUACAUUGGAAGAAUUAACCAUCUUGUGUGAAUCAGCAGUAUUGGACGCUGCAACGUGUGACCCGGGCACUGGAGGUUAUUUGACAGGUUAUUUCUAUACUUAUUUUGCCUUAUUUUUGUUUUAAGUAUCUCAUCAGGUAAUUGUUUUGCAGUUUUUGUUUUAAGUAUCUCAUCAAGUAAUUGUUUUGCAGUUUCUUACCUGACCUGUUAUGGGUUUGAAACACUCAUUCGCACAACUAUGGUUGAGUCACUCAGUGCGGGUUUGGACCAGCACAACCCUACGGUUCAAAGUGGCUAUGGAUGAGAAUGAAGUAAUGCCCAAACCCGCACUGGGGGGGCAAUCCUUGUCUGCCCGAUCUUCUCAAUUCCAGAAGGGGGAAUCUCAGUACCUCCAGAAGAUAAAUGAGGACGAGAGCGCUUUGACUUACGGACCAAACGAGAGGGGGAAGUCUCUUUCAGGACUUGCUGCGAAAAGCCAAAAAGACCAGGUCAAGACAAGAAUACAGUUUGAGACAAAAUGAGGCUUUGAAGAGAAGAAAUGUACCUGACUUAGCCCAGGGGUUUCACCAGGAAGAAUACUAAAUCCUCGUUGAGGGGAAGACUUUCCACCACCAGCAAGGGAAGAAGGAGCUGUACUUGAACCUGCACCAGUGCCCUAAAGAUAUCCCGAGGUAGCAGCAAUUGUUAGUAAACAAAUUGUAAGAGGAAAAAACAAGAAGAAAAUACUCCCAUACCUGAGUUUGAUCCUGAGGAGAAGAAUGAGGUUCAUCAAUAUCAAUUGUCGGGCAAGUAGGCACCCGUGAGACUAUUACCUCUGAGGUUACAGGAAUCUCAGGGACUAUGGGUUCAUUAUCUGAUACCAUUGAUGGAGGGGGUGGCUCAUAUACCGGAGAAGGCUGCUGAAAACGUGAGUAGGAGUUAAUUUGGAAGCAAUGUACAAGAAUUCAAUUUGGGAAUAAUGGCUCACCAAGUUACUGCCCUCAUCCACGAAGUGCAACAUAACUCCUGUAGAAGGGUCAAACUCAGAGGAAUGAGUUGCAUCCAGGGCAGGAGAAGAAAUCACAAACUUCAGAGGAGGGCCAUGACCAGGCAAGAAGGCAAAUGCCCCAGCCUAAGUACAGAUAGAAGAAGAAGAAAGAUUCAGGCAUUAAGUCCAGAAACUAUAGAGUUACCUAAGGGUUGAAAAAGGAAAAAAAGGUACCUCUGAAGGGUUAACCUGAGGAGGAGAAAUGCUGGUUUCUCGGAAAAGUGGUGGGGAGGCCUCGGGCGGAAGAAGCUUUUCCUCUCUUGCGGCCUGAUUCAAAUAAUCAGAUUUAGAGUUCUGUGAAAGCAAGAAGGGGUGUACAGAUAAAAAAUAUAAAUCAUACCUCGAGUUCUUUGAGGGCGGUAUUUUGCAGUUCUUCAGCCUUUUUGUGCAUGGCAGCUCUUAAUGGUUCCUCCUUAGAAGCAAUGAUUGGUCUCUUAGAUGCUUAAGGUCCUGUUUUUCGAGGAAAACAAGAAGCAAUUAGAUAAAGGAGAAAGGUAGCAUUUUGGUAAAGAAUAACAGAAACUUACUUGAAGAUUGUUGCUUUUUUCUGCCUGCCUCGGGGACUAGAGCAAUGAGGCUAAUGACUUAGGAGGAGCGACAGUUCUUGCUCUCUUACUCUUUCUAGUAAGAGUUGGUCGUGGGGUUUUGGGUAGAAGUGCAGGAUCAGGAUCUGAAGCCUCGAUCACAGUCGCUUUCUUUCGCUUGGGUGCUUUAAUAAUUGCCUCAGGUGUUUCUUCAGCUUCUGAAUCCCCAAAGGAUUCCAAAACAUCCACACCUUCCCCAGCUUCUUGUCUUUCAGCCUCUGCUGCAGCUCCAUGGAGAACUGCAGCAUCAGCUGAGUCAUCUUCGGACUCAAUGGCUUCUGAUUCAACAUCCACUGGGGCUGCGGGGUCAAGCAAGAGUAAGGUUAGAUGGACUUCAGAAGGGAAACAGAAUCAGGUUAAAAAGAGAAGUACCUAUCAGAAGUGACCGAUUCUUCUUUUGGAAAUGCGAUCAUGAGUCUAUUUCAAGUCUCCUUCAUACUUCUUGGUCAAUUUGUCUUCCCACCAAGAAGAGAAGAGCGAAGUACAUUCAAAGUUGAGGAUGAUGGACUUUCGGGCAGCCUGACUCAUUACGUCAAGACUGCGUCGGGCAGCUCGGAAGAUCACCUCAGAGGGAGUUGGUAGUCGAAAUGAAGUGCCACAAUGGAUAGAAUCGAAGAAUGGGACAGGAAUGGCUUGCCUGAAUCCUAACUGCCUGCUGUAAAAGUUAGGAUGGUACACCUCCAAACCUCGGUCAUAUCUAUUACCUCGAACUCCCCAGGCCAGGUCUCUCGGUUGAAUGCAGCUAAUGAAUUUCUCCCUACAAGAGGGGGUAGCAUCUUCACCAGGAGCAUCUUGAAAGCCUCAAGACCGACGCACCCCAUUCUAAAUCUAAUCGAGUCCUACAAACUCUGAAGAAGUAGAAGCAUGCAAAGGUGGAAUGAUCUAUAGGGGCAGCUCCAGCCAGGAUUCGGGCAGGGGCCACACCCUCCGGGAACUCCAAAUUGGUAGCCCGAAACUCUGGGAAGUACCAUUGAAGCCAGGUUUGUAUCAUCCAGAUAGGCCCAUUCAGGUUGGUCUCAAAUGGCUCGCCUUGAGUCAUUUCGAAAAGAAGAUGAUAAAGAUGAGAAAUGAGGAAUGGGCCUGUAGCUACAUCAUUGUGUGCCGCGGUUCGGUUUUGAAACCGAAACCGUUUCAAAACUGCAAAACCAAACCGUUUGGUGCGGUUUGAUUCGAUUUGUGUUUCGGUUUCGGUUUUCGAUUCCAAGUGCCCACCCCUAUGAUUAAGAGAUGAACAGUUACAAAAGUAUAAAAAAGGGACAGGGAUGGGGCCUCCCUUGCGCACUUUGCGUACACGGUUUUAAAUUUUCCAGUUAGUCACUAUUUUCUUUCAAGAAAUUUCUAAGUAAUUUUGAUUGACGAUAUUUUUAUAAUUUCAGAAGAAAAAAAAAGUGAAUUUUACAUUACAAAAUCAUAGAGGGUAGGAUAAAAUUCUCAUAGCCUCUCCAAGUCAAAGGAGUAAUCGUAACUUGCCACUAGUUAUCUUUUUUUUUAAGUAAAAGUAUAUAGUUGUUCAUCAAUGGAGAUUGAAUAAUAUUUGUCUUUCCGAGUUCAUGUGACAAAUCAAAUCGUUGGACUAUUAAUGAAAAAGUAUUAAGAGUCUUUGACUCAUUUAGUUUGAUAUCACUAUAAGGUAUUACACAAUCAUUAAAACUACCAAGUUCACCACCAUGUUAUGAUAAAAAUCAAACUAAACGGGGUCUUAAUAGUUAUUCAUUAAUAAUUCAAUAGGUUAGUUUGCCACCUCUAUUUUCAAGGCUAUUGAAAGGUCAUAAGAGAGUCCAUAACUCUGCCUGAAAUUAUGUGCCCUGGCCCAAGUAAGGCAUGAUCCAGCAUCUCUCUCUCUAUCUAUCUAGGCACUAAACUAAGCAAAAGACAUACAGAGGUAGAAAUUGGGAAUGAAAAGCAAGCAAGGGAGGAGAGAGUAGUUGCCCGCUGAGACUAGAUCAGUUUAAGUUCAACAAUUGUACUAGUUGACCUUACUUACACAAAGUUACAAAAGUUCUAUAUGCUCCGGACAAUCUUAUGAAGAUGUCGAAUACAAAAAAGGAGAUAUGAAAUUACCCAACUCAAGCACCUUACUUUUCCCGAAUAAAAAUUCAAUGCGUUCACACAAAAGAAGAAAGACAAAAAAAGGGCACAUCCUCAUGAGUUCACAACUUUCAUUAAAGCUUACAAGUCACAACUCACAAGUCAUCCCUACAUAAUUUUUUUUUUAUAUAUAAUGCUAGAAAACUAAAUUUAUAGAUUAAAUUUUAUAAACUAAAUGACAUAGAAGUUGAUGAUUGGAUUACUACUUAUGUGUAGAUUAACGUGCAUUUUUUUAUUGGUGACACAUUAUUUUGUUUGCAAAUUUAGUCUCCCUAUCAUUACUUUUUUUUCUUCCAUCCACUAGUUUCAUCUUUGAUCAGCAGAUCAUCCAAUGAAACUUAAUCUUAACAAAGACAGCUAACCUACACCUGGUGGGUCGCUGUAGCACUCAGAUUACGUACUUGUUCAUUCAUUAUUAAUCCAAAAUAUCACAGUAGCUAUACACGACUCUUCAAUUAAGGAUAAAAGCAAACUAAAACAUUUGAAAAUGAAUGAGUGAAUCUUGAUAUAGGAAAAAACAUACCUCCCAAAUUGGCUUCGGUGAACUAAGGUUUAGCCUGAUUACGAGAAAAACAAGUGGUGGAUUACCCUUAUGGUUAAGAAAUUUCUCUUCAACUCACUAUGUUUUGAGUUCAUACUCCCCCGCAUCCCCUUAGUGUGAAAUUAAGAAAGAAAGAAAGGUGAAAUUAAGAAUGAAUCCAGCUCCUCCUGAUGCCGGGAAGUUGCCUGGUGCUAGUGAAGGACACAUUCAGCCGAGUCCUUCUAAAGCAGAUCACAUUCACACCUUAAAUUCUCCAGGGUACAAAAAUUGAAAAUUUGGAGAGACAAGGAUUAGUCACUUUCACAUGCUUAAAAAAAAUAUAAUUGAUAAUGCUACCACGCGCUUUAUGGUAGUGGCCAGCAAACAGUAGGAAAUAGCCCCUCCACCCCGGGGCCUUAGGCGCUUUCUGUACAAAUUUAACUUUAUUGCUCCAUCUACUGAUUUCAUCUUUUUGACCAGCAGAGCAUCCAAAGCAAUUUAAUAUCGACAAGGGCUAACCAACACCCGGUACGUCAAUGUAGCAUCAAUGCGACGCACUUGCUGGUUUUGGUCGAGUUUGAUUUUGGAAAGCAAGGUCCUUCCCAUUCAGUAGACUUGAUUUCAAGAGUCAUCGACCCAAUAAGAAGAGUAAAGUGAAGGAAGAGAGAUCGAGGGGAGCUUGGUCGUGGCUGCUGGUUUUUUCCAAGCUUAUAUGGUUUUUACCCAAGCAAUAUUGGAGGAGAGGGGAAUUAAACCUCAUAUUCUGUCCUCACAUGCAAUUCAUGUUUAUGGAAGAAAUAUAGCGGAUGCAAUAACUGAACUGAGUAUAAUACUUAGGUACUCAUCAGUGAUUAUUUUACGUAUUCGUCCAAUUUACUCGUGUUCUUUGUUAUUUAAUACAACAAUAACAACAACAACAAAGCCUUUUCUCACUAAGUGUGGUCAGCAAGUUCUUUGUUAUUUAAUGCUCAAGAAAAAUUAAUAACAUGUAAAUUAUGUUUUAAAACAAUAACCAGCCUUUGCUGGGACUUCUUUGGCACAUGUUAGAGAUGAAUUUAUAGUUUCAACAGCCUUUGCUCAUCCGAAAUAUAUCAUUGGUCUGGCUGCAAGAAACCCCAACAAACAAAAAAACAAAUAAAAUUAACAAACAUAUGUUGAAUAAUACUUCAAAACUUCAAAGAUAGAGAAAUGUUUCUAAAAUCAUGGCAAAAAUUGACUGUAGAACCAAGCAUAGGGCACCAAAAUAUAAACCUCAGUAAUCGAGUAACAAAAUGACAAACCAAGGGAUACAUCUAUUAUGAGGCACUUAGUUAUCCUUGAAGGAAAAGACUACAUAACGCACUAUACCUCAAGCCUAUAAUGUUAUAUCACCCAUAGUUACACAUAAGAAUCAAAAUAAGCACCAUAAUCCAAAAAACGUGAUUUCAUCACGCUAGACAUGUCAAUGAAAACCCCUUUGUGUCUACAAAAUGCAAAAAUUAACCUCUUUUGAGAAAUGAAGGAAGAAAGACCAAAGCUUACGCCAAGAAAUAUAAUCAUGUUUAACUCAAAAUAUUUGACAUUAAUAACACAAAUCUAAUCCCAUAUAACCAGACAGAAGCUACACCCUAGAGACGGAAGAGGGGAACAUAAAGCAACUAUGCCCCAAUGAUUAUAUAAUCUCCAGACUGAGAGUGAAUUCAAAGCAUGAAAGGGAACUGAGUUCCUUGGUUCCCACAUAGAUCAAACACAAUUAUGCACUUGAUCAUCACAAAUGGGGUCAAAAGGUCAAAAUUCACCCCUCAAAAUUUCAAUGAACUAAACAAAGCAUUGAUGCAGGAAAAUGAUCAGAGGCUUGAGAUAUAUAAAAAAAAAUUAAAUUAAUUGAGUAUAUCCCCUGAUUUUACAGAUGCCUUGCAAGUGGGGGAGCUCGAAGAGAGCAUUUGAACCAAAUUCUUUAUAAGUUACAGCUCCUUACAGUCUUCAAACUAUUUUCCUUAAGUUGCAUAUUCGCCCAAGGCUGCUUCCAUCAAUGUUCUAGUCUGCUGUAAAAGUAACACAUGAGUUUUUCUAACUUCAACAAUAGAACCAACAGAGUCAAAGGUCUUGAUAAGCAUUCUGAAAAGAAACCAUUAUAGUAUCUGUGUGUAGUAUAUGUAUUUGUGGGUGUUUAUCUGAGUCCAUCAUUCGUUUGUGCUAUGAGUAUUUAGGCGUGUAAGUUCGUGUGUGUACUUGCCAAAAAAAUAUGAUUUUUACUUUCAGUCGAUCAACUAAAAAUUUAUUCAAAUAUAACACUACUUGGUUUUGAGGCUCCUAGUAUUGGCAAAUAAAAAAAAUUAAAAAAAUUAAAAAAUAAAAAAAACUCCUAGUAUUCUCCCAAUGUUAAGUUUUAAUAUUCAUUUUUGCUUGGCUUAAUGAUUUAGGGUUUAGGGUUUAGGGACCAGUGAAUAUUUGUUCGAUGUAAGUGUGUAGAUAUAGAGACUAAUCCAAAAUUAAGACAUGUAGGAAAUAUUUGAGCUUUACUUGAUUACCGACGAAACAAAUGCUCAGAAAUAGGAUUUGAACUCAUAUUUGAACUCAGGUAAGAAAGAAAUGAUACCUUUUUAUUGACCAGAAAGGUUCCCUUCAUAGCACAACCCUCGUAGAAAAGUCGGAACUGCAUGAGCAAAGACUACAAGGGGAAAGCAGGGGGGAAACAAAAGCAAAAAGGAAAUGAGAAUAUAUUGAGCGAACUUAAUUCAAAAUCUCCAAUUUACCUAAAACAUAGACUCACAAACCUCAAAGUAUUCAUUGUUGAACUCUUCUUUUUCAGUAAUUCUUUCAGACAAAGUCAUGCCAAAUCCUCAAAUAUGAAUCCAGUUCUUCUCUUCCUCUUUCUCUAAUUGAAAUCGAGUUAGGGUAAAUUACACAAAACUACCUCAAUUAUGGAUCAAACGACAUUAUCAUGCCUCAUCUUUUUAAAAUGACAAUUUCAUACCUCAUCUUACGAAUUUGUUCCAAUGUCAAACCUCCGUCAGUUUUUCUGUUAAUUUAUAUGUUAAGUGCUGACGUGGUUAGAGACAGGGCCCACUCACUAAUCCAACUGGAUUAAAAAAUAAUUAAAUAUUAAAAAUUAUAAAUAAAUUAUCUUUUUUAUAUAAAAUUGUGGGAUCCACCUCUACAAAUCCUUCCCCACCCGUCCCCCUAACCUACCUCCACCACCCCCUCUCCCUCUCUCUCUCGCCUAUCUCUCUUCUCUCUCCCUGCAACCUGCAUCCCUAAAAUCCCAAAACCCAGAAACCCUUCCCACCCGUCCCCCCCAACCUUCCUCCACCACCCACCCUCUCUCUCUCAUCUCGCUCUCUCGCCUCUCUCUCUCUUCUCUCUCUCUGGGCAACAUGCAUCCCCAAAAUCCCAAAACCCAUUACAAAUCUCAAAACCUAAAAUCUCAUCAAACCUCCCAAAUCUCGAGAAUGCGGCCUUGUUCGACUUCGACCUCACCCUUCUUGUCCAGAUGGUGCAAGGAUUAGAGAGAGAUAUGGCGUGUUUCUGAUUUGGAGCUAGGGAUUAGAGAUAGAGAAGGAGUUUCUCUUAUUUGGGGGUGGGCUCGGGUGGGGAGAAGGGGUAUGAAGCCAUCGUCGGCCUCCUUGGCAUCGAAGAGGGUGGGUGGUGGAGGAAGGUUGUGGGGGAAGGUGGGAAGGGUUUCUGGGUUUUGGGAUUUUAGGGAUGCAGGUUGCAGGGAAAGAGAAAAGAGAAAGGCGAGAGAGAGAAAGAAAGAGAGAGAGGAGAGAGAAAAAGUGGUGGAGGUAGGUUGGGGGGGACGGGUGGGGAAGGAUUUGUAGAGGUGAAUCCCACAAUUUUAUAUAAAAAUAAUAAUUUAAUUUUAAUUUUUUAAUAUUUAAUUAUUUUUUAAUCCAGUUGAAUUAGUGAGUGGGCCUCGCCUCGCCUCAAGCCACGUCAGCAAUUAACAGAAAAAUUAACAAAAAAAAUUACUGAUAUCUGACAUUGGAACAAAUUUGUAAGAUGAGGUAUGACAUUGUCAUUUUAAAAAGAUGAGGUAUGAUAGUGUCGUUCGACCCAUAAUUGAGGUAGUUUUGUGUAAUUUACCCAUUGAGUUAUCUGGUGAAGUGGUGUUAAAGUUUACAUAAGUGUCAAAAAUGAACUUCUUUGCAAAAGAAUACAAUAAUUUAUGAUGAAAAUCUAUGAAUACCAAUCAAAAUUAUAUAGAGGAAAGAAACCUUACCAAAUUAAAAGGAUAUGAUUAGACCCAAUACUCUUUGAUGAAUUCCAACAAACUGAAUAGGGGUUUAGAUAAAUAGGCAGAAAUUAAAAAAAAUGCAUUCAAAUACAUGAACAAAAGAUAAUAAAAUAACAAAAAAUCAAGAGAAAUCAACUUUGUAGUAAACUCUAGAUCCCAAAACAAAAAAAAUUAUUCCUUCACUAUUUCCUUAGCUAGCCACCACUCUCAAAAUUCCUCAAUCCCUUAUAUCUCACAAAGAGACACAUGCAUGUCCAUUUCAACUCUUAAAACCGAAAGAAGUGUUAGGGUUUCUUAGUUUCUUACCCAAAUCCACCAAUUUGAAUCAAAUCUCUGCAACACAUAUGUGAAACAGAUACACAAAACACCAACAUUACAAUGGUUUUUUUCUUUCAUUCAAAGCUUGCAUAAUUGAGAAAGUUAUAUUUCGAAGAAAGAUUAAAACCUUUUUACAAAACACACUUACUGAAAAACCUCACAUUUAUAAAGACCGGAAGUUUUUGCUCUAAUUUAGUUCCUACUGAGAGAGUAGUGUUGAAUCUACUUUUAUUAUACGUUUAAUUUAUAAUCUAAUUUUAUUUUGUCUUCAAUUUCUUUAGAAAUAAGAAUUUCAAUUUCAAUUUUUUUUUUAAUUCAUAUACUUACAUUUCUCUUUACAUAUUCCUGAAGCUUAUGAUAUGCCUUCCUCUUUAGAUAUAGAUAUAUCUUCAUUUAAUGCAUUUGGAUGCUUUAGUUUUUUAUGAACAAUUGUUUUGGCUGAACAAUUUAUAUGUGCAGAGUAAUGAAAUCUAUCAUUGGUAUCAGUGACAUUCAAACACAUCUAUCUAAUGAAUGAUAGAAAGAUGGAUAUAAUAAGCAUUUUCUUUGUCAUUUCAAUGCAGUGAUUAGCUAGGUUUAAGCUUUAAGCGUUGAAUUGGGUUCCUUUGCGACUGAACUAAUUAUAUCAACUACUGAUCUCAUAUGGUCAAUAAAUAUGUAAGCUGUCUUUAUACUCGAGAGAAAUUAAGUACAUUGGACAACAUCAUUCGUCCUCUUUGUUUUUUUAUUUACUUUUUUUUUAAUUUAUUUUCCCCCUCAAUUUUUCUGCCAUGCUAUUUCAUUUGGUUUUUUAUUUUCCUAAAAGUUUUCAUUUGAAAGGAAAGUAUUGCAUUCGAAAGAAUUCUACGUCGUUGCUCAAGUUUAUAUUUUUUUUUUGUUUUUUUCCUUGCUCAAUCAUUAUCUUCUUUUCGCUGCAUAUUGAUAUUGAGUUUCUGUUUGGAAAUGCCUCUGUUUUUUUUUUUUUUUUUUUGUUCACUUGCUAAAAAUGUCUUUGCCAAAAUUUAAAGGGCCUUUUCUUUGUUUCUUCUUAUAUUCCUCUCUCUUUGUCCAAUUAUAAAGCAGUUUUUCGUUUUUGUUGCUAUAAAGAGUUUUUCUUUGUCCAAUUAUGCCUAACGCAACUCUUUCUAAUUUAAAUGCACUCUUUUUGUCACACAUUGUAUCUGAUAGAGCAAAUGAAAAAAGAGCAAAAAACGGAUUAUAUAUGCUCCCUCAUUAUCAUAAGAAAACUCCAUCUUAGCUUUUGGUUAUGUGUCCCCCAUUUGUUUACUUAUAUGUUGUACUGUUUUGAGUUAAAUUUAACAAACCAUCCACACUAAGUGCUCCCUAUUUCAAAAUGCGAAUACAGAGAAAAUCCAUAAGAGAAAAUUGCAAAAUCUUUUUUUUUUUUUUUCUAGAAUAACAAAUUCCAUUUCCAGCUUACCUUAUAUAUUAUUCUACAUAUGUAUGCCCUCCUCCAAUACAACAUUGUACAACAAUGUCUUCUCUAUUUUAACUUUACAUGUUAUUCAUUUGUAUGUUGUUGCUCUCAUACUUCAUAUAAUCCUCAAUCGCUUUUUAACACUCUAAUGUUGCAUUGUUUGCACAGGAUUCCUUUAUAUAUGGUUUCUUUGUGAAAUUAAUCACAGCAAAUUAUUACAUCUUCGUCAUAAUGAUACCUUAUUUACUAUUUUAAUUUCUACAUACACAUUUGUUUUUUGACUGUUUUUGUUGCUACAAGUGAUUUAUUUGAACUCCCCUACUGUCAAAUUAGUAUCACUGAGAUAUAUUUGAUAUAGGACUGAAGUGCGAAAAAUGGGUUGGUUUGAAUGCACUCAUUUUAGUUUUUUUUGCAUCUGAUAGAGCAGAUGAAAAUAGAGGGAAACAAAAAUCUCAUUUGCACCUUCAGGAUCACAAAUGAACUAUAUCUCAGUUUUACUUAUGUUCCCCUUUUGUUUUCUUAUAUGUACGAACUAACAACUCCUUUUUUUUUUCAAAAUUUGUAGGAACUAGCUGAAACCUUAAACCUCAACAUAAUGAAGAUGAAGAUGAGCUGGAAACAGUGAAGUAGGAAAAUCUAGAUUCAAUAACAUGGUCAUAGUCUAUCUAAAUAUUUUGAAUAAUGAGCAGUUUAAUGCUGCUAAUUUUUUUUAUCACGGUAAUAUGUUGCUAAUUUACCUUCUUAAACAACAGACAUGUAAAUAUUGAUAUAUAAAACUUAUUUUAUGUUAAAUAGUAUUGUCUUAAACGGUGUUCUUAAAACCCACAGCAAAACGCGGGUAUUCAUGCUUGUAGCCCCUAACUGUGGAUGGAGGGCUGCAUUCCAUCCUCCCUAUUUCCUCAUAAGCCUGGAAAUCUUUUCCCAAAUAUGGGAAAGCCAAUAAUUUCUCAUAUUAGCACCAACCCGCUUAUUCACUUUCUUUUUAGGAAAAAACAUAAUGAAAAUUACUAAAAAACUUUAAAUUUUAACCAUAAGUACAAAAUAAAAGAUAAAAUAAAUAGUACCAUGAUUGACUUUUUAGUAUAAAAAAUGUGAUUUUUUGUUAAAUCGAACAGCACCUAAAGCUUUUCGUUAAAAUUCCAUUCUUUUUUAUUCCACAAGACAACAAACCAUACAUGUUAAAAAUGCCAAGAAAUUUUUAUUUUUAUUUUUCAGGCCUAGGCAUGAAGGUGACGUUUUGUCAACAAAAGAACCUAGAAGUGAUUUAACAGACGGUUAUGUCAGCUUACACGUCACACCUUAGCAAAGCGAGUUAAUAUCUAUUACCUAGUAAUUUGAAUAUGUUAUGUGUCAAGUAACCAGGGUUGCACAAUGCAACUGCACACAUCGAAUCUGAACUUCGCAAUAUAAAAUGAACAGAAACUGUUCAAGUAAUUCUUCAAUUUCAAGUUGGAUUCUAAGCUUUCAGAAUGCAAAAUCAUACAGAAUCAAAUCUGUAAUUGAAGAUGUCAAACAACGAAAAAAUUUCACAAGUAGCAGUACAACAAUGACUAAAUCAACAAUAUUAUAUCAGCAAAAUUCAAAUAAUUUAAUGGCUUAGGUUGAGACAUCAGCGGAAGAGGUCUUCCUCACGAAGCACCUUUAGAUCUGAUCUGACCACCUUGACUGCCUCAAAGGGGCAAAGGGCAACGUGCUUGCAUUGCCGGAGGGAGGAUCGGAGGAGAGAUUUCGAGAAGAUAGCCAUGGCAAAGGGCAACACGCUUCCUCUCGAAAUAUCCGAUGAUAAUUCCAUGGCUAUCAAGAUACAAACAGUCAGGGAUUCAAAUCUUUCCAACUUACAUGAAUUUAACGUCCCCAGUGUGGAACAAUAUCCUUGUAAAACCUGCAUUGAAAAAUAUUCACAUGUUAAUCUUAACGACGACAAUUUUGUUUGAAGCAACAAAACAUGUAUAUGUGGGUGAUCAUAAACAUUACAAUGAUGAUGCAGUACAACUUGAUAAGAACUAUAGAUCGAUCAAAGUAUAAGAAUCAGGAGAAAAUCUAGAGAGAGAAGGUGGUGAGAGUGAGUAACUUAUGCAAUGUUUCAAUUUCUUCAUAAUGAAGUAAUACAUCAUUUUACAAAGAAUAUUUAUGCCCUGUUAGUUUUACAAACUUCAUAUGAUACACUCAAAAGAUUUUCACAUAGUUGGAGUGAAGCUGAAAUUUCCAAGUCACAUAGUUUCAUCCAAUUUUACAGUGACGGUGUUAGAAACACCUGGGAAUCAAGAUGAAAUCGGUGACUAAGUUUAGACUAAAUGACUGGCAGAAACCAUCAUGACACACAGCAACAAGAACAACACUCUCAAAAUGUAGAAGAAACAAACAAUUGAUUAUCCCCAAAAUCUAGGGUUGCACAAUGCAAUUGCACACAUCAAAUCAGAACUUUGCAAUAUAAAAUGAACAGAAACUGUUCAAGUAAUUCUUCAAUUUCAAGUUGGAUUCUAGACUUUCAGAAUGCAAAAUCACACAAAAUCAAAUCUGUAAUUGAAGAUGUCAAACAACGAAAUUUUUUUACAAGUAAUUCUUCAAUUUCAAGUUAUAUUCUAGGCUUUCAGAAUGCAAAAUCACAUAGAAUCAAAUCUGUAAUUGAAGAUGUCAAACGACGAAAAAAAUUUCACCAGUAGCAGUACAACAAUGACUAAAUCAACAAUAUUAUAUCAGGCAAAUCCAAAUAAUUUAGUAAUUUACCCAUUUGUUGGCUUAGGUUGAGACAACAGCGGAAGAGGUCUUCCUCUCGAAGCACCUUCAGAUCUGACCACCUCAAAGGGCAACGCGCUUGCAAUUCUUAUUGUAAGUACCACGAGAUACAUGGUAAAAAACCUAAAUGUGUGAAAAGCUUGUUAUGAAUAGUAUUAUGCAAAGGGUAGUGGGGUUGUAAGAUUUCCAAAAUAGAAUCUUUCGUUUGCAGAUUUUUCUUUUGUGGUUCCAACAUCGAAAGUAAAAGGAACAACUGUGAUUGGAAUCCAUCAUGGAAUACUAUUAGCUUAUGAUUCCAGGGUAACAGGCCAAGUCGACAAAAAAGAGCCUCGAAUACGUAAUUCCCGAUAUGGU